rnacentral:lncRNA from 1 species
UUGAAUUACAUAUUAUUGUUGAGCAAGAUUAAAAACCUUCGGGUUUGGAACCAGGCAUGUAUGAACAUCCCUAUAUGGGAAAUAUUUGCGUCCAAGGCGGAUAGAGUGAGCGAUGAAUUUCAUUCAAGUUAUGUAGUAUUGAUCAAUACAAGGUACAACAGGGGUGAUCACCCUCCGUGCCCGUAGGUUAUGACGGUUUGAGGAUGGAUUUCUGC